rnacentral:lncRNA from 1 species
UUAAUUAGAAGGGAUAGUUAUCAAGUUCAAUUAUUCAGUCUUUUAUGUUGAACUGUAUAUGAGAAUAAUAUCAUCUGCUAGUGUUAAUGAUACACAAUAGGAUCACAGCUUUAACUAAAGAACACAUAUGCAGUUAAGAGGUGCAACCACAUGUUGUGGAUGAAAAUAUAUGUUCAGCUUAAGAGAAGAUAAAUUGCCAAAUGAAGCAACUGAAGGAAGGAUAGAUAGUGGAUACUCAGAUCAAAGCAACAAAUACAACAUAAUUCCAAAAGAAUAGCUAUAAACUUCCCUUUACUGCCUUUAUCAUUGAAACACUCUUUUCAGUUAAUGUUAAAUCACUCUAGAAAAAAAAAAUGCAACAUCUCUCAAGUAGCCUUUAUUGUUUUUCUCCUAAGAUGAUAUCUGAG